rnacentral:rRNA from 1 species
UACGGAGGGUGCGAGCGUUGUCCGGAAUCAUUGGGCGUAAAGAGCUCGUAGGCGGCUUGGCAAGUCGGAUGUGAAAACUCCAGGCUCAACCUGGAGCCGCCAUUCGAUACUGCUAUGGCUAGAGUCCGGUAGGGGAGUGUGGAAUUCCCGGUGUAGCGGUGAAAUGCGCAGAUAUCAGGAGGAACACCGAUGGCGAAGGCAGCUCGCUGGGACGGUACUGACGCUGAGGCGCGAAAGCGUGGGGAGCGAACAGG